rnacentral:misc_RNA from 1 species
UUUAACGACGUUGUUGUAUUGUCUGCGUGCCGCAAUUAGUGAAGUGCCUCAAGUAACAGUGAUCAUUCAGAUUAGCUUUUAUGUAUUUGUUUCUGUUAAACAGUCAUUAAUUGCUGUAAUUAAGGCACUUUUUUGAUAAAGACAAAGAACUUGUUUUUCUUGUGCGUAACAUUGGGCUACGUUUCCUGCGCCUGCGCACUCCGCGUCUUCUCGUCGAGGAUUCUCCGCCAUACUGUGCUAACGUGUGGUAUUCGUCUUCAGAACCGGCAAAUUUCUUUGGCCAAGACUGGAGAUAAGGUCGUGAAACAGAACCGGGAAGGGUGGCCACCCCAGGGAGGACGUAAGGCAGGAGCUAAGUGUCUGCAGUACCCAACCAGCCGCUGCUCUGCGUCACAAUUUUGAAUCGUCUUGGCGCCGUACACAAGCUGCACUUAGCCUCGAGCAUUGCAUUAGGAAUCUGUGCGACUGUACACCAUCCUUGGCGCGUGUGAAGAAAUAGAUUUUUUCGGUCCCUCUGAAGAUGUGGGGCCAAGCAGUGGUUCGAACACGGUGGAUCGCUUAUGGCCGUCGUUCAGUGGAGUCAAAUAAAGCGAGAUUACCGAUUGAA